UAUUAGGCGAUACCGCGAAUGGCUCAAUAUAUCAGUUUUGGUUCCUUAGAUCUUACUCAGUUACUUGGAUAACUGUGGUAAUUCUAGAGCUAAUACAUGCAAUCAGAACUCUGACCAGUGAUGGGAUGAGUGCUUUUAUUAGAUCAAAACCAAUCGACGGAGGGCCUCGCGUCCGAAGUCGUUAAUUUUGAUGAAUCUGGAUAACUUUUGCCGAUCGCAUGGUCCAGUACCGGCGACGCAUCUUUCAAAUGUCUGCCUUAUCAACUUUCGAUGGUAGUUUCUGCGACUACCAUGGUUGUCACGGGUAACGGGGAAUCAGGGUUCGAUUCCGGAGAGGGAGCCUGAGAAACGGCUACCACAUCCAAGGAAGGCAGCAGGCGCGCAAAUUACCCACUCCCGGCACGGGGAGGUAGUGACGAAAAAUAACGAUACGGGACUCUUACGAGGCCUCGUAAUCGGAAUGAGUACACUUUAAAUAUUUUAACGAGGAACAAUUGGAGGGCAAGUCUGGUGCCAGCAGCCGCGGUAAUUCCAGCUCCAAUAGCGUAUACUAAAAUUGUUGCGGUUAAAAAGCUCGUAGUUGCAUUUGUGCGCCGCGCUGUCGGUGCACCGCAUCCGCGGUGAUACUGACACGUCUGCGGAGCAUAUCGUCGGUGAGCCGGCGGUAAUACGCCGGUUCAAUAUCAAAAUCCUAUCGCGGUGCUCUUCAGUGAGUGUCGAGGUGGGCCGACAAUUUUACUUUGAACAAAUUAGAGUGCUCAAAGCGGGCUCAAAAUGCUGCUUGAAUAUUUCGUGCAUGGAAUAAUAGAAUAUGAUCUCGGUUCUAUUUUGUUGGUUUUCAGAACUCCGAGGUAAUGAUUAAUAGGGAUAACUGGGGGCAUUCGUAUUGCGACGUUAGAGGUGAAAUUCUUGGAUCGUCGCAAGACGAACAUCAGCGAAAGCAUUUGCCAAAAGGUGUUUUCAUCAAUCAAGAACGAAGUUAGAGGUU
rnacentral:rRNA from 1 species